GCUGGGCAUGGUGGCGCAUGCCUGUAAUCCUAGCUACUCAGGAGGCUGAGGCAGGAGAAUCACUUGAACCCAGGAAGCAGAGGUUGCAGUGAGCCAAGAUCAUGCCACUGCACUCCAGCCUGGGUGACAGAGUGAGACUCUGUCUCAA
rnacentral:SRP_RNA from 1 species